CGUCUUCGCCGAGGUCUCUCGGCUCAGACUCCCGGUGGGGUCUUGCUGGGUUCGGGGCAGGGUCUGCGAGGACUCUGGGCCUGACCGGCCUGGAGCUGCACCUUUCACACCUGCCGGGAAGCUCUGGGCAAGACCCCUGAAUUCUGGUCGGCGGCGUCCACGUGCGUAAGGCGGAGGUAAAGCUCUGUCGUAGGGUUGAUGUGAAGAAAAAGAAAUCACGGUGAAACGUGAGAGCGCGUGGAUGUCACUCACCCGCAUUUCCUGAGACCCUGCUCUGGACGGCAGGGAUGAAACCUGCAAAUGAAUUCCCUGUCAUAAUCAGGCUGACGCUUUACUUAGGAGACGGAUUUAAACGAGAACUAAGAAAACUUCAGCUUUCAACAGGAGCUCUGAAGAAAAAGAUUUGAGGGGGAGUUACAUAAGCUAUACCUCUAAAUGUUUUCAAGAGAGUAAUUAUAGUUUGAGACACGUAAAGUACUACAAGUGUCAAGGGCAAUAACGGUGCUAUUUUGAAACUACUGUGAGGUAGCAGAGGAAAUAAUAAUGCGGGGUUUUUUGUUUUGGCGGAGGGGAAGACGGACAAAAAGUCCAGCAUGGCCAACUAUACAUGAAAAACCGCAUAGGAUGUUCUGGUGUCCGACGUGUUGCUGGCGACAAACUGGAGCAGCAAUCCAAGAGAGAUCUCCACCUGCCCGUGAGACCUUCUGCAGAAUAUACUGCAAGUCACUUAAACUAUCACGUCUUUUUUCGGGAGGGGGCAGGAGGGUCCCUAGUGUAACUUAUCUUUGUUUCUAUAUUUGGGACUGAAUACUGUGAACCCUGAGGACUAAGAAGGGCUCCUGGUGGCUAACUGGGCUUCAAAGAAAAAAAAUCAUUGCCCAACAGCCAUUUCUGCACAAGCACAUGUCACACAAACUGCACUUCAGGGCGAACCCUCUGCCUUGGACAGCCUGCCUUCCUCCUAAACUGCCCGCUGGCACCCUGUUUCCACAGGCUGAGCCAACCCUUAUAAAGGAGUUCCUGGAGUCCUAUUUUGACCAAUAGGACCGAGGGUUUCCCCAUCUGCUCGGGUUGCACAAUUCUGACCAAUCAGAGUGGCUCUAUUCUGACCAAUCAGGACAGUGCCUUUGGACCAAUCAAACUGUGACGAUUCAGAGUCCUCAUUUGCGUGAGUAUGAGCCAAUCAGGGGUCAGGGGUGGGGCUUCUGUCUAUAUAAGCACCCUCCCCUGUUGCCUCAGGGAGCGCACUUUCCAUGGAAGUCUGAAGACUGGGUUUCCCUAGCUGGAGCUGUAGUGCUUCUUUUCUCAAACAAAUAAAGGACGUAGGUGGAGUGUCUCAGAAGGUGUCUGAAUAUGUAGAAGACUGUUGAAGAUACUACCUGGUAAUCUAGAGUGACUAUUCUAAAACAUAGACCAGCAUUCUCUGCUUAAGAAGCUUCAGUGGGCCCUCAUUGCCUGCAUGACAUUCAGACUCUUUAGCAAGGUAAACAAGAUAGUUCAUUAUCUUUCUAGCCUGAUCUCAGCGGAUCCCAGCUCUCCAACCCCCAUGCUCCACAUUAACCACACCAGCUGCAGCUAUAAUGAGACUGUAGGAAGUCUUCUGAGCACGCCAACCCCCCUAUCAAGUUUCCACACCUGUGCUGUGGCUGGGUCUCAGGCUGAAAUACCUUCUGUCCCCCCAGGCCUGAUAGAUGAUUUCCUCCUCCUCAGAAAACACAGUUUACACAUCACCCCCUCAGUUCUUUCUUCAAGCCUUGCCUAAGAUUCACCCAGCCUCCUCCAGCCUCCGUCCCAUGAACCUAUCAAACUGUUGGGAGGGACAGUCUGCCAUGGUCCAGGAGUGUGCCUGCAAAUUCUUGCUGGGUAUGCCAAGAACGCAAGGUACUGACUGCUCUUUAUCCAAGUAAUUUUGGAGGGUUAUUUGGGGUGAUCAAUCAUCAGAGCUGAAGUAGUGUCAUUCCCAAGCAGCAGGCUUGCUUCCACUUACUAUAAAAGUAGUGAAUUCUCCAAACAGUAUUCUUUUCCUGUAAUGCAACCCACUGCAUGUACAGACAUCCAUCACCCCAGUGGGAUUUGGGUGGCUUGGGAACUGAUGCAAUCAUGAACCUCUGGCUACUUUAACGAAACUUCUUAAAAAAUAAAAGAUUCAGGAAUUUCAUGACUACUGCCACAAAA